GAGUCUCCAUUCAACUCUCAUUUGCAAAUUGUUCCCUCUCAUACACUCACUCUUCCUUUCAGAAUGCUCUGCUAGGGUUACUCACGGCUCUUGGUCAAGCUAGCUCUAAGCUCAGCUCGUCUUCACUUCUUAGAUCUGCUAUUAGAGCUGCUGGUUCCGUUGGUUUAAGAGUCGAAACCCGAUAUUAGCUCCUUUCCAGAUGCGAGAGGUAUCGAGGUGAACAGGGAAGAGAUGAUCCCGCUGCUUAGUCUACCUGGACUAGACUUCAUGUUAUAUUUGGGUUUUCUUUAGGACUAUGACCCAUGUACUAGUCUGUCAUUUACAUUCCUAUAUGAUUCUAUUAAACUUCAUAUCUUGUUUCUUUUUUGCAUCGUGGGUGUGCCUUGUAAGUAGUAGUGUUUAAACUCCAUG